GGCACAUCUCACACCCAAUAUCGAUUCCCGUCAGAACUCUGCAGUUAAGCAUGCUCGGGCGAGACUAGUACUAGGAUUGGUGACCUCUUGGGAAUUCCUCUUGUUUCACCCC
rnacentral:rRNA from 1 species